rnacentral:rRNA from 1 species
CAGUAGCCGCGGUAAUACGAAGGGUGCAAGCGUUAAUCGGAAUUACUGGGCGUAAAGCGUGCGUAGGCGGUGAGUUAAGUCUGCUGUGAAAUCCCCGGGCUCAACCUGGGAAUGGCAGUGGAUACUGGCUCGCUAGAGUGUGUCAGAGGAUGGUGGAAUUCCCGGUGUAGCGGUGAAAUGCGUAGAGAUCGGGAGGAACAUCAGUGGCGAAGGCGGCCAUCUGGGACAACACUGACGCUGAGGCACGAAAGCGUGGGGAGCAAACAAGAUUAGAUACCCCGGUAGUCCCUGUCUCUUAUAC